GCUUGAACUGACGCCAGUAACUAUCGUACAUGCGCUUGGUAGUUCUCUCCGGGUAGCAGGUCACUGUCUUUAUGUAAACCUUCAGGCUGCGUUCAAGUAGCUGAUUAACUUCUCCAUAAUCAUAGUCAUCAUACCUGAUUCCAUACAUACAGUGGACAUAGUUAAAUAAAGCUCUUCUUAACGUAGUUGUAUCAACAUCUUCAUGUGUUGCCAUAGUGUUAUACGUGAGGUUAUACACCAUCCGGAACUUCUCAUCGAGGAGAUGCCCAAUAUCAGAAUAAAGCCUGUUUACAAGGGAAAAGCCAUGAUUUUCCCAAGUAUAGUCCUGAGCUCUGAAUGUUGGCAGAUGGUCUUCUCCUCGCCGUGCAAAGUCUUUGUACCCAAACCCAGGAUCCUCAACGUAGCGGGAGACAUCUGUAGAAACUAUUUCAUCAUCAAAUGCUCCGCUAAUUACAAGCAGACUCUCCUUCUUCUCCUUCUCAAAGCGAGUGUCCAUUUCUUCCUGAGAGGCUUCUUCAUCCUCUUUAUCUUCUUGUAGCCUCUUCAUCCUCUCCAUCAAGGCCUCCAGCUCACUUAAGGAAUCUGCAAUCCCAAAGUUGCUACUUGUGAGGGAUGCAUUUUCUAUGUUGUUGUCAUUGGCAAGAUCACAGACACAGAAGUUGUUGACUGCUAUAAGUCUGACUCCAUUAGAUGUAUCCGGAUCUCUCUCUGGAUUAAUGCCACUACCAAAUACAAAACUUGCCAAGGCAUGAUAAUGUGCCAACAGGACAACAGCAUGCACCAGUUCAGGAAGAGACCAAUUAUUUUCCCC
rnacentral:lncRNA from 1 species